GCCAUCAGAUGUGCCCAGAUGGGAUUAGCUAGUAGGUGGGGUAAUGGCUCACCUAGGCGACGAUCCCUAGCUGGUCUGAGAGGAUGACCAGCCACACUGGAACUGAGACACGGUCCAGACUCCUACGGGAGGCAGCAGUGGGGAAUAUUGCACAAUGGGCGCAAGCCUGAUGCAGCCAUGCCGCGUGUGUGAAGAAGGCCUUCGGGUUGUAAAGCACUUUCAGCGGGGAGGAAGGCGGUGAGGUUAAUAACCUCACCGAUUGACGUUACCCGCAGAAGAAGCACCGGCUAACUCCGUGC
rnacentral:rRNA from 1 species